GUCCGGAUAGCUCAGUGGUAGAGCAUCAGACUUUUAAUCUGAGGGUCAAGGGUUAAAGUCCCUGUUCAGGUG
rnacentral:tRNA from 1 species